GGGGAAACCCAGUGUGAUUCGUCACACUAUCAUUAACUGAAUCCAUAGGUUAAUGAGGCGAACCGGGGGAACUGAAACAUCUAAGUACCCCGAGGAAAAGAAAUCAACCGAGAUUCCCCCAGUAGCGGCGAGCGAACGGGGAGCAGCCCAGAGCCUGAAUCAGUGUGUGUGUUAGUGGAAGCGUCUGGAAAGGCGUGCGAUACAGGGUGACAGCCCCGUACACAAAAAUGCACAUGCUGUGAGCUCGAUGAGUAGGGCGGGACACGUGGUAUCCUGUCUGAAUAUGGGGGGACCAUCCUCCAAGGCUAAAUACUCCUGACUGACCGAUAGUGAACCAGUACCGUGAGGGAAAGGCGAAAAGAACCCCGGCGAGGGGAGUGAAAAAGAACCUGAAACCGUGUACGUACAAGCAGUGGGAGCACAGAGCAAUCUGUGUGACUGCGUACCUUUUGUAUAAUGGGUCAGCGACUUAUAUUCUGUAGCAAGGUUAACCGAAUAGGGGAGCCGAAGGGAAACCGAGUCUUAACUGGGCGUUAAGUUGCAGGGUAUAGACCCGAAACCCGGUGAUCUAGCCAUGGGCAGGUUGAAGGUUGGGUAACACUAACUGGAGGACCGAACCGACUAAUGUUGAAAAAUUAGCGGAUGACUUGUGGCUGGGGGUGAAAGGCCAAUCAAACCGGGAGAUAGCUGGUUCUCCCCGAAAGCUAUUUAGGUAGCGCCUCGUGAAUUCAUCUCCGGGGGUAGAGCACUGUUUCGGCAAGGGGGUCAUCCCGACUUACCAACCCGAUGCAAACUGCGAAUACCGGAGAAUGUUAUCACGGGAGACACACGGCGGGUGCUAACGUCCGUCGUGAAGAGGGAAACAACCCAGACCGCCAGCUAAGGUCCCAAAGUCAUGGUUAAGUGGGAAACGAUGUGGGAAGGCCCAGACAGCCAGGAUGUUGGCUUAGAAGCAGCCAUCAUUUAAAGAAAGCGUAAUAGCUCACUGGUCGAGUCGGCCUGCGCGGAAGAUGUAACGGGGCUAAACCAUG
rnacentral:rRNA from 1 species